rnacentral:tRNA from 1 species
CACCGGGUAGAGCAGCUUGGUAGCUCGCAAAGCUCAUAACCUUGAGGUCACAGGUUCAAAUCCCAUCUCCGCAA